rnacentral:lncRNA from 1 species
CUACCACUGGUUGGCCUUCUCCUUGGAUUUUCAAACCCAACAGGUGUGCCAUGAUAUUUAGAUAGACCAGAGUAUACCCGGUCACGGUAAGCCUGGUAAGACAAGAAAUACUCGGAAUGAUAACCACUUAAAGUAAUGACACUCCCUAGUUACUAAAUUCAUCAUAAGAAAACUUCAAUACUACCCCAACUACAGUACUAUAUUUUCAAGGUAAGAUCAAGUAUGAUGCAUAUUUCUAUGAUCCAUAAGACUCAAACACUAGAUAUUCCUUGACCGGAGAAAACAAAAUUUGCAAUUAUUAUAAGUUCUUACAGGAUCAGCCCAUUUAGCAGCAAUGGCCUCAGAAAUUUUUCUUCUUUGCUCAGCAGAUUUAGGUGCUCUCUUGCUACCUUGUGGCCUAGGGGUUUUCUUCCUCUGUUCAAUACUCGCCAACCACUCCUGCUCAAGCUGCUCAUCCAAGAUCUCAUAGGAGUCCCAUUGUAGCUCUUCCUCACCAACCAAGCCCCUUCUAGACGCAUCAGCAAUCAAAUUCUGCCACUCAAAGUGGCAAGUUUCCUGCAGCAUCAGCUUCUCCCGACGCCUAUUCCACCCAAUUCGCACCCCAACUCCAAUUUUUAUCCUUGUUUCUUCACUGUACAAUGGAUAGCGUAUUGUUUGAAAUUUCAGAAAAUUGCAAAACAAGUCUAGAAAUGAAUAAUUUAAGUAGAUGGCAACAUUGACAAGGGAUAGAUAAUACAAGCUGAGCAAGGGAAACGCCGAGUAUCCAAUGAACUACACUUUCGAAGUUUCACAAUCUCAAAACUGGAACCAAAGAAGUAAAGGCACAAAAUGUUCUCAAAAAAUUACACUCAAAAUGGUGAUAUAUCAUUCAACGGUCCCACAGUUCCCUGCAACUGAAAAAUUCAUUAGUAAACGAUCAAUGGCCUCGUGCUGUGUUUGGGAGAGAACAGAAUCUUUAUACUGAACUAAAGAGUUACUAAUCCCAAACUCUAAACCAUUAACUCAAGGUAAACACUGAUAGAAAGAAAGAAUACUAAGAAGAAACACUGGUAAAAUCAACAAUCGAAAAAUACAAGCUGGAAUAAAAUAGACCCCACCUUUGAGCAUGUCCCAGAUUAGCUAACUUCAUCUUGAUCUGCAUGACCGCAACAUGUUAAUAGAUAAUCUCAAAAUAAUCUACAUAACAACUACAAAACGAAAAUGCUUAGCUUCAAUAAUUAUAGACGACACAUGAACACGAAAUGACUUUAGUUAGUGGAUGGCUCAACAAAGUCAAAACUUCAAAAAGAUGAUCAGGAAAAAACUAGUUCUAUAAGCCCCUAUUUUUGCCUCAUGUCAAUCACGUAUAUACCAAGUUUAGCAUGAAAUAGUGAUCAAGUCAUCGUGUCAACUGUAAGCGUUGAUCUUUAGGAAACCAGAGUAUUGGAGAUCAAGGAUGGGCAUCCAAAAUAGUUCAAGAAGUCAUUCAUGAGGAGCGUCACUAGAUCAAUUAAAAACAUUGAUAGACCAAGAUGCUAGUGUUUUCUACUAGCAGGCUAUGUAAUCAUACUAUCUUCGAGGAGAAACCAUUCAGAGUGAUGCUGCCACCAGCUUCACCAGAAAUAUGUAUUUUAGUGUUUGACCUCAUGUUUGUGAUUAAGAAGGAUAUACCUAGAAAACCCCACAGUACUCCCUGAACAUGCCUCCAACUUUGAAAUACUACAAGACCCAAUUACACAAAUUACAAUCUGAGUUGUUUUUUAACUACUCAUUCAUAUAUGAGAGAUUAGAGGUACUCAUAAAUUUGUAUUUGAUCUAACAAUUUCCUAGUUUUUUGCAGCUAUCAUGUAAAAUUAUUCUUACAUGACAUCACCUUAGGAUCCUGCAUGGCAAGCCUGGUUCGCUCUCUGAUCCUUUGUAGGGUUUCUGCACAUGAUUGCAGAUAUUGGGAAAUUUUAAAAGGAAAAAAAGGGGGGAGUUAUGAUAAAUUCAUUGAUUCAUUCGCAAUGUAAUUCAAUUGAAAUUACUAUGUAGCUACCUGGAGUAUGCUUCCUGCCUUUAUUCCAAGGCGUGUUCCCUUUGUUUGCUUUAGAGAUCCUCAUCCGUCUCAACUUCUCUCUCUCGUCCAAUUCAGUUGAGUCGUCUUCACUUGAAGAUUGAUGCUUAAAAACAUAGGGACUUUUUGAACUACUGUCAAGGUGUAAUCUAUGGUAAUCAUGGCGUAAAUUUUUCUCAGUCGAGCAAUUUGGUUCAAGGGUUGCAACUGCCUUGAUUAGUAGCCCCCUGCAUCUCAUCUUAUUUUGGCCCAAAUUGAGGUUUUUUACUUUCUCGGGGAUGUCGAAAGAUCUCCACAAAUAUGACAAUCUUUUGUCAUUGGCAUGAUAGAGGGUCUGAGAGUUAAACGAGUAUAGAUGAUUUCGGAAGGAAGGCUUUGGCGCCGCAAUAUCUGCACCAUAAGUACACACAUAAUGUUCAAAGAGGGAAAAGGGUAUCAUCAACACGAUAGGCGUAGGAAUUAGAGUGUAUCAACACACACAAAGACAUACAAAUAAGCCUGUUAGACCAAAAAAUAUAUUGACUGCUAGUAGUAAUUUAUUACCAGCAAGUAGAAGAAGAUAGGAGCGACAUGUUAAGAUGUUGAGAUGAGAAUUAGGGGAGAGUAAUAGAAGGAAAACCCCAGAAGAAACAUAAAGGAGUGAUUAACGUUACCUAAUAAAGGCAUGGGGACUUAGCUCAUUCAUUCAGUCAUUCAAUGGAAUCAAAUAGUAUCGGUAGAAGUAGAGAUGACACACUUUGUUGUUGGGAUAAUCAAAGAGACAGUGGAAGUUGUAUAUGAUAAUAAUACUCCAUAUACAUCUAUAGAUACAGAUAGUCCUCCUCCUUCUCGGUCGGUUGCAAGAGAGAGAUGCGGAAGGGACACAGCACAGGGAUAGCCAGCCAGCCACACACUUUUUCUUCUGAGAGGUCGCAAAUCAGGAUAACCCUGUACGUACCAUAUUUGUAUUUACAGUCUAUGCCAUUCAUUUGUAAAAGAUUGUUACUUUAUCAAACAGACUUAUUUAUAAAUUGACUUUUAAGUUAAAGCGUUCAAUUUAACUUAUAAGUUAAAAAAAUUAAGUUAUGAAUGUAUUCUGUUCAUAAUCAUUUAUAAGUUUAAAUAAAUACAAAGAUUAAUAAAAAAGAUAUUAAUUAAAAGAGAGAAAAAAAUAGAUAUUAUAUUUGAUCAAACUAACUUUUUUUUUUGACUUAAACUAAAUUUAUAAGUAAAAAAAUAAAUCAUUCACCAACAGGUAGGUGAAUAGUAAGAAAUGACUUCUAAGUCACUCAAGCUCUUAGACCGUAUAUAAACAAAAUAUGCAUGUAGGUAUUAAGUAUUAGUCAUUAAGCUCUCAAAUUUAUUUAUUUUUUGUUCAAAAUAUAGGAUUUGUUUAAAUUUGAGAUAUAUUUAAUUUUAAAAUAAAUCUUAAAUUAAAAAUUAAAAAAAUAUGUUAAAAUAAUAAAUAUUGUAAUUAAUACUUAGUAUUUUUAAAAUCAUCUAUCAUUAUAUUAAAAUUUAAAUAAUUUUUUUUAUGUUAAUUCUAUUUUAUUUGAAAAUUAAAGCAUGAAUAAUUUAAUAAUUUCUGAUUCUUCUCGUUUGGAAGAUGGUUGGUAAUGGGCAACAAGGCUUAGUAGUUGUUGUUACCUUCUUCUCUGUUUGAGCAAGUUAUCCCAGUAUUUUUUGAAAUUCCUGGAAGCAUCGUCGUCUUUUUGUUAUCAUAACUCGUACUUGUAAAUAAAUAAUUUCCCUACUAAGAAACAUAGGUCUCAGAUCGAUUGCCCAUGGGUUUAUAUAUCCUCAAUUUUUAUCAUAUCCUAGCACGUGUUUUUGGCAAAAAUUUUACAUUUAAAAAACAGAAAGAGCGCGUAGCCAAUUGCUACAAUAGCCCAAAAAGCUUGCAAAACACGAAUCUACAAGGAUUUCUAUGUGAAGAUGUUUUGUUGUGGAAUUGACAACACAUUAAAAAAAAUAUCCAACAGCUCACAAAUUUUAUCAAGAAAUUUAAAAAAAUUAUAUGUUACGCGUUUAGUUACUUCUAAUUUUCUAUCAACUUGUAAAAAAAAUUCUUAUCAAAACGUUGUGAGCCAUUAGAUCUACUUUUUAAUGUGUUGUCAACUCCGCAACAAAACUCUUACAAAAUCCUCACAGAGAAAUCCUCAUAGAAUCCGCAAAACACACUCAACACUGCAUCAAUCAUUACCAAUUAAAGCAAUCUCACAAGCCUGUACUCCAUAUUCUGAGGAGGUUGACAACCAAAUGGAACCAAAGUAUAGAUAUCCAACUGACCUUCCUUCCAAUACCACCACACUCUACACACCGACACUGUUGGGUUACAUGAAAAUCCUAGGACAAUAAGCAAAUGUCCGCUACCCAAUCUAAGCUUUUCUCCCUCAUUGGGCAGAAUAUCAAAGUUGAAGCAGAGGCAAGGCCAUUACAACACCAAAAAUGGAAACUAACAACACCAGCGCCCACAUUGGAAAGGAUUGCCCCCUUGGGUUUUUCACAUCAUUUCGGGCUUCUGCUCUAUUCAGUUCUUCUCUCAUUGUUGAUUUACCUCUUUUGUCCAAUAACGGUCUCAAUUCUUCUUGUGUCCGAUCUGGCAACAUCUGCACUGGGACAGCUUUCUCGGAGAGCUGCUGCUCUUCGUAUUUCUCCAAGUACUCCGGAAACAUUUUUCUAAAAGUUACGCUGUUUAAGGUAAAGGAACACGCAAGUAAGUUUUAAUAUAGUUACGAGGGUCCACAAUUAAAAAUAAAAAUGGAAUAUAAUAACAUUAGAAAAGAAAUUGUGAAACUAAUGGCCAAGGCUUGGUGCAUUUUUGAGUAACGCGUAUAGAACUUCACACACAAUAUAGCAAACUUACAGAAAUAGAAAAAAGUAAAUAUAAAAUUAUGGAAAUAAUCCAAACAAAAUCAACAUUCUGUCGUUCAAUGGAAAAGGCAAACAUGUUUACAGAGCUAAAUUAAGUUUGUAAUGGACUCACUUCUUACAAUUGAACGCAAGAGAGGCCUUUGCAAGUCGUUGCUUUUCUGCGACAGUAGUUGUCACACUACCAGUGGUAGGACUGUUGUCCAUCUGCAUAGAAAAGAAAUAAACAAAAAUGUAUGCCAAGGAAGAGCGGGACAUACAAACAAAAGAACCCAAUUAGAUGGUUUAGUAUUAUCAUGAGAAGCAGCUUCUAUAAGCAGUGGUGACCAAAUAGAAUCAAACUAGGUGCCAGUUCAGUUAUAAAGAACUGAGGUGCUUGUAAAGCACAUGUUGCUUGAAAAGUUCUUUUGUUUUGUUUUCAUUUUAUUUUCAAAUUUAAUUUCAAUUCAACAUAUCCUAAUCAUCCAGUUAAAUGACACCAAAUAAGGUAGUGCAGAGAAUCCAUUUACCUAUCAGUCCAUGAAAUGGAUCUUAAAAUCACUCAAGAAAUAUAUAUAUAUAUAUAUAUAUAUAUGUGUGUGUGUGUGUGUGUGUGUGUGUGUGUGUGUGUGUGUGUGAAACAUAUCAUCUAGCUAUCUUAGAAUCUAAUAAAUAUCUUCCUCUUAUUUUAAAAGAAAAAGGAAAAAGACAAUCUUAACAAGAGCCAUGUUUCCUCCUCAGCGCAUUCAAAUGAAACAAGCUGAUCCUUAAGGAGAGAUGAUAAGAAAACUUCUCCAUUGUCUUGCAUGAACUCAAUUAAUAACCAAACUUGACACCCGACUAUGUUAGGAAUCGCCUAGAAAACUCAAUGUACACGACUCUAUUCAGAUAAUUUUUAUCAUAUGAAACAAGAAACCAUGUCUUCAUCCAAGACACCUCUCCAUGAUAUUCUUAUUCUUCUUGAGGUACUUUCCAACAGGAGUUAAAUACACAUUUGUACUCAAAGAUGCAAAUUUAAAUCUACUGGGAGGAGAAAAAAACAAUAAGAUGCAUUUAGUCUUGAACGCAGAUGUCUACAUCUUAGAUGGUCCCUCUUCGGCUAGAACCCUUAUUACAGCCAAUGGCGACAAAUUAUUGAUAGAAAUGGGGCUCCGUCAUACCAGCCCAUUUAACACAACUACAGUUAAAGUGUCCAUGUCACAUAAUGGCCAAUACUCCUUGCAGAUACGCAAUGCAUAUGCACUUUUACAAAUGUGAACCUAAAGUUUAAAUAAGAUACAAUAUUUGUUCAAGUUUGUUUUAUGAAUCAGGUACAUUGAAUUUCUAGUGCAGAAGUAUGAAACAGAA